AUUUGAAGCAGGGUUAGAAGCAUUGUGAAGUUGCGAAGUUGAUCACAGUUGUCGGUCGUCCUUGUCAUGCACGUGCUCAUCGUUUGCUGCGGACGCGGUGGUCUUAAAGGUGGUUUCAGCAAAUCUCCCAAGGAGCCUUCUUCCUUGGAAUGUCCAGUUUUAAAAGACAAUGCAGCCACAGCUCAGUGCCACCUGCAAGCGGAUCUGCAGAAUAACUAAGCUUCUGGAUGCAUGAUGGACAAAGAAGUGACAGCUGACCUGCUGUCAGCCCACACCUCUUCACUGGAGGAAAAAAACCACCACCUUCAGCAUGACCUGGAUAGUGCACGCAGUCGCCUGGCAAAGGCAGCCCCUGGAGAGAGAGAUGUGUUCCGCAGCAACCCAGACAUGGUUGUGUUUUACACAGGGCUGCCAAAUUAUGCAGUUUUGGAGGCUGUUUACAGCCUAGUUGAGCCUCAUGUAAGGCAUACAUUACGAAACCACCCGAGUAAAUUUCAGGAAAUAGCCGUUUUCCUAAUGAAGUUAUGGCUUAAGAGGAAGCUUUAGCUCGGGCGCUCCCAUCUAAAUACAUGUAAAAAGGGAACUCGUUUUUCUCGGCAACCACUGCACCAAAUUUGACGAGGUUUGUUGCAUUUAAAAGACAAACUUAAAAUCUAGUGACUGUUGGUUUCAAAGUUUUUAGUUAGGCCGUCAAUAUUUUAUAAAAAAUUGACAAAAAUUGCAAAUUUUCAGAAAACGAAACUAUGAAGUUUACAACUCUGUAACUCAACAAGAAAAAAUGAUAUCGCAAUUCUGUGAAUUGUAUCUGAUAGCACAUCUAAAGCGGACAAAAUUGAUAUGUUACACAUGAAUAUAAAAAAAAUUUAAUCAUAGGGAAAUACAACUUUUGCAAAACCGUUGUAACCAACGUAACAAAUCCACGUAAGAUGUAAAAUGACAUAUUGAAUUUGUCCGCUUUGAAUGAUCUAAUGGAUGCCGUUUACAGAACCGCGAUAUCGUUUCUUGAUGCAGAGCUAUGAAUUUGUAAACUUCGUGCUUCUAUUUUUCUCAAACGGUCAAAUAUUUGAAAAUCGUUUUAAGGAAAUUAAAGCCCUAAAUCGAAAUUCCGCUUCCAACAGUCACUAGAAUUUAACUUUCUCUUUCAAAUGCAACAAAUUUCAUCAAAAUUGGUCCAGGGGUUAUCUCAUAAAAACGUUUUUGCGUUUUACAUGUAUUUGAAUAGGCCGCGUCGGAGUUGGGCCCGAGCUAAAGCUUCCUCUUAACAACGUGUUACAAGAUCUUGCAUACAGGUAUUUUAUUCUGUAUUCUGGGCAACAGCCAUAACUAUAUUCAUUUGUAACAUUAAGCUUCGUGCGCUACGCAGAACUGCACAGGUGAGCAUGCAAUAGCCAUGUUGUGCUGGCGAACUUUAUUGCAUUAGCUUCAGUCACACUUGGCAGUUUAUCUUACAGGUUUGGCAUUCACCAGUCAACCAUAACGAGGACAGUAGAAAAGCGGCUUGAUGCUGCUUAUGUCAGGCUCAGCAGUCUAAUCAAAUGGCCAGAAUGUGAAGAUCUUCAAAGAACAAUGCCAAUGGCAUUUCAAGAAACAUUUGGCAAGAAAGUAGCAGUGAUUCUUGAUUGUUUUGAAGUCUUUGUGGACAGAUCUUCAGCCAUGGAACUUAGAUCAUUAACAUGGUCUACGUACAAGCAUGCGAACACCGUGGAGUACUUAAUUGGCAUCGCUCCGCAAGGUGUAAUCACGCACACAUAAAGAGGGUGGGAUGGACGCACCAGUGACAUAAAUGCUGACAGAAUCGUGUGGCAUUCUUAGCAACCUGCUACCUGGCGACUCUGUGCUGGCUGGCUGGGGUUUCUUUAUCUCUGAUUCCGUGUGCAUGUGUGGAGCGAAGCAGGAAAUCCCAGCCUUCACCAAAGGGAAGCCACAGCUUGCUGCAUACUCUGUUGAGGCAACACGUAGGCUAGUAAAUGUUAGGAUUCAUGUUGAAAGAGUUAUUGGGUUAGUCAGGAACAAGUACUCCAUUCCCAAAAGCACUCUUCCUACUGAAUUUUUGGAGCCAAAGGUAUUUAACGGCAUGAAAGUGAGCGCACUUGACAAGGUUGUAUUUGUGUGUGCCGCACUUACCAACCUGUGCGACUCUGUUGUACCAUUUGACUGACGUGUCUAUAGUGCAAAGCAUAUAGCAAAUGUACAGUACUUUUUUUACGACUCCUUGCAGUCAUUACAAAACCAUUUUUGCGAUUUAGGUGCCCUCUUCAAAUUAACGCACUGGAAGUGAAACUAUUAUUGACUGCAAUGCUUCCGAUCACACCCAAUCAUGUCUCCAUAUUCUGGCUGCUGACAGUGGCAAUAUUUAUCAUACUGACUGCCUGCACUUUGCUCCUGUACUACUUCAACAGCAGUGGUCGAAUAACGGAAACAAAGUUAAGGCAGGAGAACUCGUUCAAAAUACAAUGCACACUUAUCCACAAUUUCAUUGCAGAACUCCUUAUCAAACAUUACUCUUUCAAUAAAAAUAUAAUUCUAUGUCCAUACUACAAGAUCACAGUAGUUUCUUUUGCAGACAGACAUCUGCAUCAUUACUUGCUUGAAGUAAUGAUGGUUGUUCAAUAGCUUUGCGUCAUUGCCAUCAACUACACGAUAACAUCGUUGCUGCUCUGGAGUUUUGCAAAUAAGUGCAUCUUUUGCAGAGUAUGGACAUUUUAUCUCCAGAAGGCCAUCUCCACAACAAUUGCAAUGUACAAGGCCAUCAGGAGUUGCAGGAACAAUGGUCGUUCUAUGCUUACGUGCAGGCCACACAUUUCGCAUUUAAAGCCUAGAUGGUGCUUUGCCUGCAUUGCCUCUAUGUAAGUUGCCCUCCCAGCAGCUUCUUCUUUCCCCAUUGAGUUGCUGCACUGUGGAAUUUGCAUUCCACCGGACAGCAGUCUCUUCAGCAGGCUCUUUGAAGGCUUGGUCAAUGAUGUUGCAAAUACCGCUCCUGCAUUUGAAGCUGUGAUGCGUCCAGUCUGAAAUGAAUUCCACUUCUCGGAUGCAGAUUGGGCCUUUGUGUGCUUCUCGAUCAAUGCAACAACACCUGCAGGAAAUUGCGAUUCAUGUUCAAACAAGCAGAAAUGUUUAUCCUUUUGAUUGCUUUUUAGUUCUGCUGUAGUGCUGUAAGGAUGUUGUGGAUUCAUGACAAUAUUGCAUACAUUUGAAGUGCCCAGGCAGCAUAUGCAGAUUUAGCAUAAAUUAAUUAUAAUUGUGAACAGAUGCUGACGCACUGCUGCGCUGCACGGCACA